UAAUAAAAGUGUUUUAUGGCACUUUUCAAACAAAUCCAUAUCCACCUUGUGUGCAAUGUUUUUUUUUUUUUUUUAAAUAAACACUUUAUUUUUUAAUUGCCAAUUUAUCUGAAGAUCAGUAUUAUUAUGAAUUAACUUAACUCAAAAUA
rnacentral:misc_RNA from 1 species